UCGAGAGCGGAUUGGUCGAACGUCACGCUGCUCUGUUCUCAGGCUUUCUGAAUGGGGAGACGGGCCAAUUAAACAUUGCAAGCUACCCUACCCAAACGCUUGAGACGUGAAGAAACAUCGAUGAACUGCUCGUAUUUUAAAGGAAUGCAAGCAUCCUUCCUUCAACGAGUUCAAGUGUAAUGUGGUUAGUCGCGCGCCAGCAUCUAGGACCCGAUUCAGCAAUAGAGGCACGGGCUCCACCAAAAGGUAUUUUCCGGGAAUCAGGAAGAGGAGAAUACACAGACAUUAAACAGUGUCGACAAGACCUUCUCCAGGACCAGAAGUCUAUGCAAACAGGAUGGAAGGAUUCCUCGUAUCUCUGA
rnacentral:lncRNA from 1 species